AGCUGGAUUGAAAAACAUGUCAAGUUCAGCUGCUUAUAUCUAGCAGCAAAAGAAACGAACAGUGAGUCUAAUAGAGGAGAGAGCUGAUAACUCAGUCGUUCUAGAAAUGACACCCAUUGGGCAGGCAGAACUCGGUCAUUCUAAACACCACGUACAGCGCUACAACCCGCAAGCAUCCUUCGGACCAGGCUCUUGCCCUGGGGCUGCAGAUACUCCCAAAUCCAUCGGCAGGUGUCCUACGUGCAGGCGUGAGCUGAGAGGUCUUGGGAUGCGGAUGUCCCCACUUGAUCUGAGCCCACAGGAGGCAGAAGCUCACUCUCAGCACCGUGCUUGCCUCUAAAUUAAGAAAUGUUUCAACUUGAAUAACCCGGGGUCUCACUUGCAGGAGGUUGACAGUGAGCAUCAUAAAGUACAUAAGGCUUA